rnacentral:rRNA from 1 species
UUGAACGCUGGCGGCAGGCUUAACACAUGCAAGUCGAGCGGGGAAAGGUAGCUUGCUACCUGACCUAGCGGCGGACGGGUGAGUAAUGCUUAGGAAUCUGCCUAUUAGUGGGGGACAACAUCUCGAAAGGGAUGCUAAUACCGCAUACGUCCUACGGGAGAAAGCAGGGGACCUUCGGGCCUUGCGCUAAUAGAUGAGCCUAAGUCGGAUUAGCUAGUUGGUGGGGUAAAGGCCUACCAAGGCGACGAUCUGUAGCGGGUCUGAGAGGAUGAUCCGCCACACUGGGACUGAGACACGGCCCAGACUCCUACGGGAGGCAGCAGUGGGGAAUAUUGGACAAUGGGGGGAACCCUGAUCCAGCCAUGCCGCGUGUGUGAAGAAGGCCUUUUGGUUGUAAAGCACUUUAAGCGAGGAGGAGGCUACCGAGAUUAAUACUCUUGGAUAGUGGACGUUACUCGCAGAAUAAGCACCGGCUAACUCUGUG